rnacentral:rRNA from 1 species
ACCUGACUGCUAUCGGAUUGAUACUAAGCCAUGCGAGUCAUUGUAGCAAUACAAGGCAGACGGCUCAGUAACGCGUAGUCAACCUACCCUAUGGACGGGAAUAACCUCGGGAAACUGAGUAUAAUGCCCGAUAGAACAUUAUACCUGGAAUGGUUUAUGUUCCAAAUGAUUUAUCGCCGUAGGAUGGGACUGCGGCCUAUCAGUUUGUUGGUGAGGUAAUGGCCCACCAAGACUAUUACGGGUACGGGCUCUGAGAGGAGUGGCCCGGAGAUGGUACUGAGACACGGACCCAGGCCCUAUGGGGCGCAGCAGGCGAGAAAACUUUGCAAUGUGCGAAAGCACGACAAGGUUAAUCCGAGUGGUUUCUGCUAAAGGAACCUUUUGUUAGUCCUAGAAACACUAACGAAUAAGGGGUGGGCAAGUUCUGGUGUCAGCCGCCGCGGUAAAACCAGCACCUCAAGUGGUCAGGAUGAUUAUUGGGCCUAAAGCAUCCGUAGCCGGCUCUGUAAGUUUUCGGUUAAAUCUGUACGCUUAACGUACAGGCCGCCGGGAAUACUGCAGAGCUAGGGAGUGGGAGAGGUAGACGGUACUCGGGAGGAAGUGGUAAAAUGCUUUGAUCUCUCGAUGACCACCUGUGGCGAAGGCGGUCUACCAGAACACGUCCGACGGUGAGGGAUGAAAGCUGGGGGAGCAAACCGGAUUAGAUACCCGGGUAGUCCCAGCUGUAAACUAUGCAAACUCAGUGAAGCAUUGGCUUGUGGCCAAUGCAGUGUUGCAGGGAAGCCGUUAAGUUUGCCGCCUGGGAAGUACGUACGCAAGUAUGAAACUUA